UACGGGGGGGGGCAAGCGUUGUUCGGAAUUACUGGGCGUAAAGGGCUCGUAGGCGGCCAACUAAGUCAUACGUGAAAUCCCUCGGCUUAACCGGGGAACUGCGUCUGAUACUGGAUGGCUUGAGAUUGGGAGAGGGAUGCGGAAUUCCAGGUGUAGCGGUGAAAUGCGUAGAGAUGCGGAGGAACACCGAUGGCGAAGGCAGCCCCCUGGGCCGAAUACUGACGCUCAGGCACGAAAGCGUGGGGAGCAAACAGG
rnacentral:rRNA from 1 species